rnacentral:rRNA from 1 species
GACGAACGCUGGCGGCGUGCUUAACACAUGCAAGUCGAACGGAAAGGCCUUGCUUUUGUGGGGUGCUCGAGUGGCGAACGGGUGAGUAACACGUGAGUAACCUGCCCUUGACUUUGGGAUAACUUCAGGAAACUGGGGCUAAUACCGGAUAGGAGCUCCUGCUGCAUGGUGGGGGUUGGAAAGUUUCGGCGGUUGGGGAUGGACUCGCGGCUUAUCAGCUUGUUGGUGGGGUAGUGGCUUACCCAGGCUUUGACGGGUAGCCGGCCUGAGAGGGUGACCGGCCACAUUGGUCCUGAGAUACGGCCCAGAGUCCUACGUGAGGCAGCAGUGGGGAAUAUGGUCCAAUGGGCGGAAGCCUGAUGCAGCAACGCCGCGUGCGGGAUGACGGCCUUCGGGUUGUAAACAGCUUUCGCCUGUGACGCAGCGUGAGUGACGGUAAUGGGUAAAGAAGCACCGGCUAACUACGUG